GACGAACGCUGGCGGCGUGCUUAACACAUGCAAGUCGAACGGAAAGGCCCUGCUUUUGUGGGGUGCUCGAGUGGCGAACGGGUGAGUAACACGUGAGUAACCUGCCCUUGACUUUGGGAUGACUUCAGGAAACUGGGGCUAAUACCGGAUAGGAGCUCCUGCUGCAUGGUGGGGGUUGGAAAGUUUCGGCGGUUGGGGAUGGACUCGCGGCUUAUCAGCUUGUUGGUGGGGUAGUGGCUUACCAAGGCUUUGACGGGUAGCAGGCCUGAGAGGGUGACCGGCCACAUUGGGACUGAGAUACGGCCCAGACUCCUACGGGAGGCAGCAGUGGGGAAUAAUGCACAAUGGGCGGAAGAAUGAUGCAGCAACGCCGCGUGCGGGAUGACGGACUUCGGGUUGUAAACCGCUUUCGCCUGUGACGAAGCAUGAGUGACGGUAAUGGGUAAAGAAGCACCGGCUAACUACGUG
rnacentral:rRNA from 1 species